rnacentral:rRNA from 1 species
GUAGGUGGCAAGCGUUGUCCGGAAUUAUUGGGCGUAAAGCGCGCGCAGGCGGUUCUUUAAGUCUGAUGUGAAAGCCCACGGCUCAACCGUGGAGGGUCAUUGGAAACUGGAGAACUUGAGUACAGAAGAGGAAAGCGGAAUUCCACGUGUAGCGGUGAAAUGCGUAGAGAUGUGGAGGAACACCAGUGGCGAAGGCGGCUUUCUGGUCUGUAACUGACGCUGAGGCGCGAAAGCGUGGGGAGCAAACAGGGAUUAGAUACCCUGGUAGUCCACGCCGUAAACGAUGAGUGCUAAGUGUUAGGGGGGGUUCCGCCCCCUUAGUGCUGCAGCUAACGCAUUAAGCACUCCGCCUGGGGAGUACGGCCGCAAGGCUG